GAUGAAGAACGUAGCGAAAUGCGAUAAGUAAUGUGAAUUGCAGAAUUCCGUGAAUCAUCGAAUCUUUGAACGCACAUUGCGCCCCCUGGCAUUCCGGGGGGCAUGCCUGUCCGAGCGUCAUUUCUGCCCUCCAGCCCGGCUGGGUGUUGGGCGCUGUCCCCCCGGGGACACGCCCCAAAGACAGUGGCGGCGCCGCGUCGGGUCCUCGAGCGUAUGGGGCUUUGUCACCCGCUCGGGACGGACUCGUCGGCGCUGGUCUUCCUCCAGGCGACCCUUCGGGGCUCGUCUUCCUUCGGUUGACCUCGGAUCAGGUAGGGUUACCCGCUGAACUUAAGCAUAUCAAUAAGCGGAGGA
rnacentral:misc_RNA from 1 species